rnacentral:rRNA from 1 species
UCCUACGGGAGGCAGCAGUAGGGAAUCUUCGGCAAUGGCAGCAAGUCUGAAUAAACCACGCCGCGUGAGUGAAGAAGGUUUUCGGAUCGUAAAGCUCUGUUGUUAGAGAAGAACGUGACUGUGCCUNAAGAGUUCACACCGGGACAGUACCUGCCANCAAANGCANUAAUAACUACGUGCCAGCAGCCGCGGUAAUA